rnacentral:sRNA from 1 species
GUAUCGUGCCCGGGAGGCGCCGGAGCCCAGCGGCUGGCGCCAGAUCCAGGCUCCUGGAAGAACCAUGUCCGGCAGCUACUGGUCGUGCCAGGCACACACUGCUGCCCAAGAGGAGCUGCUGUUUGAAUUAUCUGUGAAUGUUGGAAAGAGGAAUGCCAGAGCUGCCGGCUAAAAAUUACCCAACCAAGAGAAAUCUGCAGGAUGGACUUUCUGGUCCUCUUCUUGUUCUACCUGGCUUCGGUGCUGAUGGGUCUUGUUCUUAUCUGCGUCUGCUUGAAAACCCAUAGCUUGAAAGGCCUGGCCAGGGGAGGAGCACAGAUAUUUUCCUGUAUAAUUCCAGAACGUCUUCAGAGAGCUGUGCAUGGAUUGCUUCAUUACCUUUUCCAUACGAGAAACCACACCUUCAUUGUCCUGCACCUGGUCUUGCAAGGGAUGGUUUAUACUGAGUACACCUGGGAAGUAUUUGGCUACUGUCAGGAGCUGGACUUCUCCUUGUAUUACCUUCUUCUGCCCUAUCUGCUGCUAGUUGUAAACCUGUUUUCUUUCACCCUGACUUGUGUAACCAAUCCUGGUAAGUUGAGGCUCUUAGCAUACAGCAUAGUGACAGCUCCACUGUCUUACUAAUAGUGCUGCAAACAAGG